rnacentral:rRNA from 1 species
UACGUAGGGUGCGAGCGUUGUCCGGAAUUAUUGGGCGUAAAGAGCUCGUAGGCGGCUUGUCGCGUCGGAUGUGAAAGCCCGGGGCUUAACCCCGGGUCUGCAUUCGAUACGGGCAGGCUAGAGUUCGGUAGGGGAGAUCGGAAUUCCUGGUGUAGCGGUGAAAUGCGCAGAUAUCAGGAAGAACACCCGUGGCGAAGGCGGCUCUCUGGAACGCAACUGACGCUGAGACGCGAAAGCGUGGGGAGCAAACAGG